rnacentral:misc_RNA from 1 species
UUAAGUUCAGCGGGUAUCCCUACCUGAUCCGAGGUCAACCUGAUAAAAUUGGGGGGUUGCUGGCAGGCACAUGCCCAGACCUCCAGAGCGAGAAGAUUUACUACGCUCGGAGCUGGACAGCACCGCCACUGACUUUAGGGCCCGCCAGGCGGCGGAGCCCAACACCAAGCUAGGCUUGAGGGUUGUAAUGACGCUCGGAC